rnacentral:rRNA from 1 species
GACGAACGCUGGCGGCGUGCUUAAUACAUGCAAGUCAACGAUUUUUAAGAUAGCAAUAUUUAAAAUAGUGGCGCACGGUGAGUAACACGUAGAUAAUCUGCCUUUAGGUCUGACAUAACUCGUCGAAAGACGGGCUAAUAUCAGAUAAACAAUAACUUGGCAUCAAGUAAUUGUCAAAAGCUUCGGCGCCCAAAGAUGAGUCUGCGGACCAUUAGGUAGUUGGUGGAUUAACAGCCCACCAAGCCAACGAUGGAUAGCUGGUCUGAGAGGAUGAUCAGCCACACUGGAACUGAGACACGGUCCAGACUCCUACGGGAGGCAGCAGUAAGGAAU